AUGGCUCCGUCGCCCCGCGCGCUCCAUUGGAGGAGCCCCCGCCCCGCGCGUGGCCGCCUUGGAGUUGGAGCGCUCUGGCCCCACGCCCUUGUCUGCUCUGGCGGCGGGUUCCUCCUGGCCGCAAUGAUGCUCGAGGCCGGCCGCUACACCCACAAGAAGGAUGAUGGCAUCUGCAACAGCAAAUGCUGCUGCAAAGAUAUUAGUGUGGUGGUCAUUGGGUGCAUGCAAUUAACCAGGACGACGAGUGCGGCGACGAGUCCGACCAGGGCGCGCUGGCAGAGGAGGCCCAGGAGCUCACCGCCCCUGAUGGCGAGGGCGUGCCUGACUUGGGUGGUGGCCGCCAAGGCCAACGCCAGUGAGGACGUCGUCCUGGAGUUCAUUGGGGGCCCCAUCUCAUUUGACAAGGCGCGUGCCACUACGAGUGGAGGGUGGCUUUGUGAAGGAUGGGGAGGUGGGAGAAGAAGAACUCUGAAGGAAAGCGGUGAGUAG
rnacentral:rRNA from 1 species